UCUCUUUGAAAGAACAACAAACACUGCAUAUCUCUCACAAUUUAAAAACUUUCUGAAUACUCUCUUUCACUUUCUCUCUGCUAUCAUUUGAACACUCAAUCGGCUGAAAGCCAAGGUUGAGUAAAAUUUGGUUUGAAUGCUUCUACACUAAUGGGUUCUAUUGCUUAUUUACUUUGGUUUUGCUGCUACUGCUAUUCUCACAAUGUUGUUGCACACUGUUACUCUCUCUGCUGCUCACACUCUCUUCUCACCUUAUUCCUCUGUGCACUAUUGCUCUUUGUGUUCUGUUUGUCUGCAACUGGUAUGUUACCUAUUUAGUAUACAGUCCCCAAAACAAUAUAUUUCAGUUAAUCAUG
rnacentral:lncRNA from 1 species